rnacentral:rRNA from 1 species
UUAAGUCCCAUAACGAGCGCAACCCUUAUCGUUAGUUGCCAGCGGGUUAAGCCGGGACUCUAGCGAGACUGCCACCGUAAGGUGAGAGGAAGGUGGGGAUGACGUCAAAUCAGCACGGCCCUUAUGUCCAGGGCUACACACGUGUUACAAUGGCCGAUACAAAGGGCAGCUACCGGGCGACCGGAUGCUAAUCUCUAAAGUCGGUCCCAGUUCGGAUUGGAGUCUGCAACCCGACUCCAUGAAGUGGGAUUCGCUAGUAAUCGCGCAUCAGCCAUGGCGCGGUGAAUACGUUCCCGGGCCUU